UUUCGUUUAGGCAAUGGAGUUCACCAAAACUGCUGAACGCUAAUGACUCCUGCCGAAAA
rfam:Bacillus galactosidilyticus strain PL133 scaffold000103, whole genome shotgun sequence.